ensembl:lncRNA
GUUCACUUUUAACUGAGUAAGUAUUUUGAUAUACACUAUAUGUGCACCCCGACCAUCACAUCCAUAUGUCAUGCCGUAGUGGUGUCAGGUCGUAGUGGUGUAUGGUGAAAAUGUCAGGUCGUAGUGGUCAAGGGUGAAAAUGUCAGGUCGUAGUGGUGUAUGGUGAAAAUGUCAGGUCGUAGUGGUCAAGGGUGAAAAUGUCAGGCUGUAGUGGUGUAUGGUGAAAAUGUCAGGUCGUAGUGGUCAAGGGUGAAAAUGUCAGGCUGUAGUGGUCUGUGGUGAAAAUGUCAGGUCGUAGUGGUGGGAGUGUUUGAACAGACACAAUUCUAGUGACAAACUGUCUGGAGAUUACAGCCCCACCCGUCAAGCGCGAAAACAACCGUGUUCUUGCAAAGUAAAGAAUGAGGGGAAAAAAAUAAAAUGGCCGAGUGUUGGCUCUGGUAGAGAACGAAACAAACAUCAUGUUCAGGCAUGGUCCUAUAGAGAAGUAGUCAUCUUAAUAAACACUGAAGUGUUCACUACAAUAAACAUGAG